rnacentral:rRNA from 1 species
UUUCCUACGGGGGGCAGCAGUGGGGGAUAUUGCACAAUGGGGGAAACCCUGAUGCAGCGACGCCGCGUGAGCGAUGAAGUAUUUCGGUAUGUAAAGCUCUAUCAGCAGGGAAGAAAAUGACGGUACCUGACUAAGAAGCCCCGGCUAACUACGUGCCAGCAGCCGCGGUAAUACGUAGGGGGCAAGCGUUAUCCGGAAUCACUGGGUGUAAAGGGAGCGUAGACGGCUGUGCAAGCCUGAAGUGAAAGGCGGGGG